rnacentral:rRNA from 1 species
GACGAAGGGGACUAGCGUUGUUCGGAAUUACUGGGCGUAAAGCGCGUGUAGGCGGUUGUUCAAGUUGGAUGUGAAAGCCUUGAGCUCAACUCAAGAAAUGCAUUCAGGACUGAGCAGCUAGAGGACCGGAGAGGAUAGUGGAAUUCCCAGUGUAGUGGUGAAAUACGUAGAGAUUGGGAAGAACACCAGUGGCGAAGGCGGCUAUCUGGACGGUUUCUGACGCUAAGACGCGAAAGCGUGGGGAGCAAACAGG